GCGUUGUUCGGAAUUACUGGGCGUAAAGGGCUCGUAGGCGGCCAACUAAGUCAGAUGUGAAAUCCCCAGGCUUAACCUGGGAACUGCAUCUGAUACUGGAUGGCUUGAAUCCGGGAGAGGGAUGCAGAAUUCCAGGUGUAGCGGUGAAAUGCGUAGAUAUCUGGAGGAAUACCGGUGGCGAAGGCGGCAUCCUGGACCGGCAUUGACGCUGAGGAGCGAAAGCUAG
rnacentral:rRNA from 1 species